rnacentral:lncRNA from 1 species
CUACCCAUGAUCUGUCAAUGAAUCAUUAGUUCGACUUGCUAGUAAACCUACUAAGUAUAUUCAAAUUAUAUAUCUAACGUCGCGUCUAACAUAAUCCGUCGCAUAACACGCUAUUAAUCAUGCCAGCGUAUGUCUUUUGAUUUGUUACGUCGCUAUCAUUUAUAACAACAAAUAGAUGUAUACAAGCAUAAAAAUGUACAACAACAUGCUUGCAAUCAAAGUAAUUAUACUUUUUUAAAAUUUUCUCAUUACAAUGCGAUUGGUGAAAAAAAUAUUUCUUCAAUAGUUUUAUUGAUUUUUAGUCUCAUUUAUAAUAUGCAAGUUAGAGCCAAAAAAUUAACAAUUCAUCCACAUUGAGGCUAGUAAUCACGACUCGUGCUGGCACAUGGAUUAGAAUGUAUCCAUUUGAAUACCCUUAUUUUUUAAUAGAUGUAUAGGUUAUAUAAGUUUUGGGAUUAAUCAAUUAUUUGUAUCCCCAAGCUGAUACGCAUUAAAUACCCAGCCUAUUUAAUUUGCACACCAAAAUAAUCCAAUGCCCACAACUUAGCCUUUAUCCACAAUAAAGCCCAUGACCAGGAAAAACAACCCUUAAUCAAAAUAACGACAACCCAAUUAAAGAUUUAUGUUCUUAGAAUGUUAGGCAAACGAGACAAAAGAAAAUUUAAUGGAAACAAAGCAACUCGAUAUCUUUCUCUAUUUUCUCCCCCAAAGAAAGUAAUAGAUAAACUAUAAGGACUUUGAACAAUCAGGUUGUCUCUCUUUUCAUUUAACUCUAAA